GCCCAAGUAGCUCAGUUGGUUAGAGCACAUCAUUAGUAAUGAUGAGGUCGGUAGUUCGACUCUGCCCUUGGGCU
rnacentral:tRNA from 1 species